rnacentral:rRNA from 1 species
AUUGAACGCUGCGGCAGGCUUAACACAUGCAAGUCGAGCGGAGAUGAGGUGCUUGCACCUUAUCUUAGCGGCGGACGGGUGAGUAAUGCUUAGGAAUCUGCCAUUUAGUGGGGGACAACAUUCCGAAAGGAAUGCUAAUACCGCAUACGUCCUACGGGAGAAAGCAGGGGAUCUUCGGACCUUGCGCUAAAUGAUGAGCCUAAGUCGGAUUAGCUAGUUGGUGGGGUAAAGGCCUACCAAGGCGACGAUCUGUAGCGGGUCUGAGAGGAUGAUCCGCCAAACUGGGACUGGGACACGGCCCAGACUCCGACGGGAGGCAGCAGUGGGGAAUAUUGGACAAUGGGCGGAAGCCUGAUCCAGCCAUGCCGCGUGUGUGAAGAAGGCCUUUUGGUUGUAAAGCACUUUAAGCGAGGAGGAGGCUACUAGUACUAAUACUACUGGAUAGUGGACGUUACUCGCAGAAUAAGCACCGGCUAACUCUGUGCCAGCCGCCGCGGUAAAAC